UUGGGAAUCUUGCACAAUGGGGGAAACCCUGAUGCAGCGACGCCGCGUGGAGGACGAAGGAUCUAGGUCUGUAAACUCCUUUUGCCGAGAAAGACUUAGGACGGUACUCGGCGAAUAAGCUCCGGCUAACUACGUGCCAGCAGCCGCGGUAAGACGUAGGGAGCGAGCGUUGUCCGGAUUUACUGGGCGUAAAGGGCGCGUAGGCGGCUUGUUAAGUGUGAAGUGAAAUCUCCAGGGCUCAACCCGGAAACCGCUUUGCAAACUGGCAUGGCUUGAGGAAGGCAGAGGUGAAUAGAAUUCCUGGUGUAGCGGUGACAUGCAUUGAUAUCAGGAGGAAUACCAAUGGCGAAGGCAGUUCACUGGGCCUCUCCUGACGCUGAGGCGCGAAAGCGUGGGUAGCAAACAGG
rnacentral:rRNA from 1 species